rnacentral:rRNA from 1 species
GGGUUUUUGAUGGAGGGUUUGAUCCUGGCUCAGGACGAACGCUGGCGGCGUGCUUAACACAUGCAAGUCGAACGGUAAGGCUCCAGCUUGCUGGGGUACACGAGUGGCGAACGGGUGAGUAACACGUGGGUGACCUGCCCUGCACUUCGGGAUAAGCCUGGGAAACUGGGUCUAAUACCGGAUAGGACCAUGGUGUGGAUGCUGUGGUGGAAAGUUUUUU